rnacentral:rRNA from 1 species
GACGAACGCUGGCGGCGUGCUUAACACAUGCAAGUCGAACGGAAAGGCCCUGCUUUUGUGGGGUGCUCGAGUGGCGAACGGGUGAGUAACACGUGAGUAACCUGCCCUUGACUUUGGGAUAACUUCAGGAAACUGGGGCUAAUACCGGAUAGGAGCUCCUGCGGCAUGGUGGGGGUGGGAAAGUUUCGGCGGUUGGGGAUGGACUCGCGGCGUAUCAGCUUGUUGGUGGGGUAGUGGCUUACCAAGGCUUUGACGGGUAGCCGGCCUGAGAGGGUGACCGGCCACAUUGGGACUGAGAUACGGCCCAGACUCCUACGGGAGGCAGCAGUGGGGAAUAUUGCACAAUGGGCGGAAGCCUGAUGCAGCAACGCCGCGUGCGGGAUGACGGCCUUCGGGUUGUAAACCGCUUUCGCCUGUGACGAAGCGUGAGUGACGGUAAUGGGUAAAGAAGCACCGGCUAACUACGUG